rnacentral:misc_RNA from 1 species
GGAAGUAAAAGCGUAACAAGGUUUCCGUAGGUGAACCUGCGGAAGGAUCAUUAUUGUAUAACCGAGGUGCGAGGGCUGUCGCUGACCCGAAAGGUCGUGCACGCCCGAGUGCCCUCACACACAUCCAUCUCACCCCUAUGUGCACCACCGCGUGGGUCCCCCUUUGGCUUGUUCGGAGGGGGGCUUACGUCUUCACACAAACUUUGUAUGCAGUGUAGAAUGUAUUUUUUGUUUUUGCGAUCACGCAAUCAAUACAACUUUCAACAACGGAUCUCUUGGCUCUC